rnacentral:lncRNA from 1 species
AACCCCACACAGCCCUAACCGGGGUGUCAUAAGUCACGAGCAUCUAUUAGAACAUAAAUACAACUACAAGGUCCGAAAUAUACAAAAACAGGACUGAUGAGCAAAAAGGGAGAGAACACGGUGCUGCGAAUGCUGGCAGCCACCUUGCUAAACUCCGAUAACUCUGCCACCGAUUAGCCAAAACCCACUACCAGGUGUAUAAAUACCUGCAUCUGUACACAAGGUACAUGGAGUAAAGUGAGUACUCCAACUCAGUGAGUAAUAAAGGUAAAUAACAAGUGAGUAGUAAGAAAUCAUGUAAGGCAAACCAACAUGUUGUAUAGAAGCAGUGUAAAACCUUUGAGAAAAGCAAUGAAACUGUGAAAUCUUUAGAAAUAUCUUAGUUCAGUUUAAUCCUCUUUUGAAAAUGGCUUUUUCAAUAGUUAUGCAAAUGAAUACAAAACAAUUAGUGCAUAUAAGCACAGAAAUCCGCCCCUCGGGCUCAACACUCAAUGUAACAGGUAAUGCUAGACAAUCAGGAAGAUAACACAUAAAGUAACACAAUCAACAGGUAAUGGCAGACAAAUGGAAAUAAAGUAAACACAUAGAACAGUACCAGCCCCUCAGGCUCACUCUCAGAACACUCUCAGCCCCUCGGGCUCACUCUAUGAUCACAAUGGGUACCCGUGCUCACUGGGAGUGUGCACACCCCGGGAGGGCCCCCUUACGGCCCAAGCGCAAUAUCAAGCCAUCUCGUGACAUCAAAUCUAGGCCCUCGGCCUCACAUCACUCAAGCCACCUCGUGGCGUGUAAAAAUAUCUUAGGCCCUCGGCCUCACAUCACUCAAGCCACCUCGUGGCGUAUAAAAAUAUCUCAGGCCCUCGGCCUCAUAUCACUCAACAUAUCCUCACAUAUGGCCCUCGGCCUCACUCAGUCCGAAAAUUAUCACAAGCCCCUCGGGCAUUAGUAAAACAGUAGUUCUCAGCCCAAAACAUCAUUUAGAAAUAUCAUUUAAAUAUCAAAACUGAGUAAAAGUGGUUGAGUUUGUAAAAAAGUAGAUAGCAACAGGACUGAGUUCAAGUAAUAAGUCAAACAGUGACGAAAUAGUGAUAAAAAUCCCCGAAGGGUUCAAAUAGUUGGCACGAAGCCCAAAUAUGACAAUCAGCCCAAAUCAUGAUGAUAACAAAUAAGUUUCAGUCAAAUAAGCGGUAAAAUCAUCAAUCGGGAUGGAUCAAGUCACAAUCCCCAGUAGUAAACGAUCCCACACUCAUCAUCAAGCACAUGUCUCAUCUUAAUAUAGCACUAUGAUGUGCAAUCCAGGGUUUCAAACCCUCAAGACAUCAUUUACAAUCAUUACUCACCUCGAAUCGGCUACAACUCUAGCUCGUGACGGCUUUACCCCUCGAAUCGGCCUCCACGCACGUCGAAUCUAUCCAAAAUCAGAACGAAUACGUCACAAUAUGCUAAGGGAAUAAAACCUAUGCGAAAACAAUCGAAAAAUAUCAAAAAUCCCGAAAUUAGCAAAACCCGAGCCCUGAGCCCAUUUCUUGAAACUCAGAAAUUUUCACAUUAUUAGAUUCUUUAUCACCCCACGAGUUCAUACAUAUCAAAAGUUCUCCAAUCCGACCUCAAAUGGUUCUUCAAAUCCCAAUUCAAAAGUUCAAAAUCCCAAGCCCUAGUUCUUCCCUUUUUAGCUUAAGUUCCAAGAAUUUCUAGGUUGAUUUCACAAUAGAAUCACGUUUUAUGUUCAAAAAUCUUACCUCCAAUCAAUUAUCCUUGAAUCCUUCUUUAAUCACCCUUAAAAAGCUCUUAAAAUGCUCAACUAAGGAGGAAAAAUGACUCAAAAUCGCGGAUAAAAUAACUUAUAAACUUUCUGCCCAGGUCUGACUUUCCUUCUACGCGAACGCGGUCAACCUCUCGCGUUCGCGUAGCACAAAUUUAUGUUGACCAACUUUUACCUUACGCGAACGCGACACGCCAGUCACGAACGCGAUGCCUCUUCCGCCUUGACCUUCGCGAACGCGAGACACCUGAUGCGAACGCGAAGAGCAAAUUCCACUGGACCCAAAUCCUUAUACGCGAACGCGGAGAGCCUCAUGUGAACGCGAAGCACAAACUCCUAGACUUCCGCGAACGCGAGGCACCUCUCGUGAACGCGAAGGCUUAAUUAUGGCCUUCCUCAAAUUCUUCUACGCGAACGCGAGGCUCCACUCGCGAACGCGAAGAGAUAAUUCUCUACAACAGCUGGGCAGAUUUUUCUGCAACUUUCAAACUCCAAAAUGGUCCGAUUGACCAUCCGAAACUCACCCGAGGCCCCCGGUACCUCAAGCAAAAGCACCAACACAUCUUAAAACCUCAUUCAAACUUGUUCCAAUCAUCAAAACACCUCAAACAACACUAAAUCCAUCAAUUCACAUUGAAUUCAAGCCUAAGUUUUCUAAAAAUUUACGAAAUACGCUUUCGAUCAAAAACUCAACCAAACCACGUCCGAAUGACCUGAAAUUUUGCAUACACAUCACAAAUGACAUAACGAAGAUACAACAACUCUCGGAAUUUUAUUCCGACCCUCAGAUCAAAAUCUCACCUACCAACCGGAAAUCGCCAAAAUACUAACUUCGCCAAUUCAAGCUUAAUUCUACACCGGACCUUCAUAACCAAUUCCGAUUACACUCCUAAGUCAUAAAUCACCCAACGAAGCUAACCAAAUCAUAAAAAUUCCGUUCUGAGCUCAUAUACAAAUAAGUCAACUCUUGGUCAAACCUUUCAAAUUCAAAUCUUUCAUCUGAGACUAUUCUUUCAAAUUCCUUCUGAUUUUCCUGAAAACCAAAACCAACGAUCUACAUCAGUCAUAAUACAUUACACAGGGCAAGUUAUGCCCGAGAACUGGAAAUCAAAGUGCAAAAGCUCAAAACGACUGGUCGGGUCGUUACAUUGAGCCUUCGAAACACCAAAAACAACAUCAAAACACCAAAAUCACAUCAAAUUCAAGCCUAUGAACUUUGAAAUUCCUAAAUUUCACAAACGACGCCGAAACUAUCCAAAACAACUCCGAUUGACCUGAAAUUUUGCAGACAUAUCCAAAAUGACAUUACGAACCCGUUCUAAUGGUCAGAAUUCCAAUCCGACCCCGAUAGCCUAUUUUCCACUGCCGACCGAAAAUCGCCAAAAACUAACUUUUGCCAAUUCAAGCCUAAUUCUACACCGGACAUCACAAUAAUAUUUCGGACACACUCCUAAGUCCCAAAUCACCUAACAAAGCUAUCCGAGCCAUAAAAUCCAUAUUCCGAGGUCGUUUACCAAUAAGUCAACUCUUGGUUGACUUUUCUAACUCUAAAGCUACUUUUAGAGACUAAGCGUCUCAAACCUUACCAAAACCAUUCCGGAUUCGAUCCGACCAAUCAAAUACCACAUAACACGGAUAAACAAAGCAUAAAAAGCAUAAAUAGGGAAAAACUAAGCGGUAACUCAUGAGAUGACUGGCCGGGUCGUCACAAUGGUUCAGUAACUCAUGUCAUUUGGAGGAUUAAAAAAUGAAAAAUUAAUAGGAAAUUCUACUUUUAGUCGUUCAAUAAAAUAUACAAUGCAGAUAAGUAUUGAGGUCUUGCAUGGGGACUAACAUCUCGUGCCAGCGUUCUUUUGGGAUACACAUUUCACUUGAAAAAAAAAUAUUGCAUUGAGAUUGUCACACUUCCUUUUUUCCGAGGGAAUAGGGAAUUUUUCUAAUUUAAGUGACACUAAUCGAAAUAAAAUUAUUUAUUUGUUCAGAGUCGCCACUUGGGAUAAUUAUAUGGUGUCCCAAGUCACCGGUUUAUUUUAAAUCCCAAAUCGAGGAAGUUUUGACUCUGUUUUACAGUCCACAAAACACAGAAAUCCGGGCAAGGAAUUCUGUUAUCCCGGGAGAAGGUGUUAGGCAUUCCCGGGUACCGUGAUUUUAACACGAUCGCUCAACUAUUAAUAAUUGGCCUAAUUACCUGAUUUAUUACAUAUUUAAAUCCUAUUGUGCAUUUUAAACAUUUUAACUGCUUUUAAUUAUUUAUGAGAUUUGUUUCAACAAGUCGCGAUGUCGCACAUUCGUUUGUUUUGUACACAUUGCGAAUCGCGUCACGGGAACUGUACCCAUGAUCCACAAUAUAUUUAAUUUUAUUAUUGUUCGAAGUUAUGGUCGGGUCACAUAAAAUGCACACCCGAAUUGGGAUUAUUACAUAUCGUGACCAUGCCACGAGAACCGUACCCAUAGUCACGAUGAUUUUAUUAAUCGCGCCUAAAGCAAGCUACGAUGAUUCAUAAGAUUAUUUCCUAAACUAGUGAUUAUUUUUAUUGAGCUUACGGUGGAUCAGCUGGCCCAUAAAUAUCAGAAACUAAGUUUUGAUUGUCCAAUUAAGAGAAACAUCCAGAUAAGAACAAACUACAUAGAAGGAAGCAAAAUGCCAAAAUCAACAAGAAAUAAGAGCUUACCAAUAUAAUAUGAAUCAUGUUCAACACAUACACCAUUUUUACUGUCUUUAAUGGUUUAAAGCUCAAAUUCCAAAAUUAUUUUUAGCAUGUUAAACCAUGAUACAUAAGUAUUAUUAAAAGCAACAAUUAGAAAAGCUAAUAAUGAAACCAUAGGAGAAUUUCAUUCAAACACAUAAUACUUCAAAGCCAUUCAUUAAUUAGAAAUAAGGUAAGUUAAAAUUGGACCUCUCAUUAUAACAAAUUUCUUUGAGAAUUGAAUAAUGGAGCACCGUGAAGCAAACAACGGUACAACAAAUACUCUGUUCCAAAUGAAUGCACAACAGUAAGCUCCGAUCAAACUUGUCUCGAAAUUGAACCGUGACCGGAGUUAGAACAGAAAACUUGUCGCCGACGACCUUGAGCACAGAGCUUCACGGGAUUAAUGGAGGAUUUUGGAACCAUUUUCUCGGCGAAAAUGAGAGGGAUUUGAGCUGCUGUUUGUGAAAAUUUUGGGACUAUUUUGUCAGUGUUUUGGGGAGAUUCUUUUAGCGUUUCUGGGUGAUGACAAUGACUAUGUUUAUUGUACGUAUUUGGAAAUUUAGAGCUAUUUUGAGGUGUAAAUGUGAGAAGGAGAAGAAAACUAGUUGUUCUCCAAAAGAACGAAGAAGAAGGCGCUGAUGCCCAUCUUUCUUUUUAGAGCUCUAAGUUUCUUUUCAUUUUUUUCUUUUGCCCUACUUUCUUUUGGUGCUUUUUCGUUCCUUUUCUUCUUUUCAAAUUGGCUUUUUCCCCUUUUUUUGUGUUAUGUAUGUUUUUCUUUUUCUUUUGUCAUGUGAGGUUGUAACUUUUGAAGAAGAAGAAGGAGUUCCUAUGGUGGGGUGCAACUGACCUCUCCUCAAUGAGAGAAUGAGAUAUAAAAAAGAUGUAGGG